rnacentral:lncRNA from 1 species
UGCAUAUGUUGAGGGGGAGAAUCUGAAUUUUAAUCAAGCUAAAUCAUUAAUGACAUAUAAGCCAAACAAUUGAUUGCAUAAUAUGAAGGCUUAUAUAAUUCCAAAUGAAAGGGAGAGCUUUAACUCCGAAAUUUAUUGUUUCACUCCUUUCAAGCUUGGAUAAAUUAAAUUACCAGACAUUUGAAUUCAUUUAUGGAUUUUAUUUCAUUGUUUAUUGAGCAAUUCACUUUACAUAUACUCAAUGUUUUGUCAUCAUCAAAAAGGGGGAGAUUGUGGAGUGAUUGAUUGAAACCCCAUUUGAUUUUGAUGAGCUCAAAGCAUUUGAGUAUAUCUUUUGAUUACUAAUGAAUUCAAUUGAGUGUUUCAGUGAAAAUCCUGUCUAAGUGUCCCAAGACUUGGUUCAUAAUUUUUGGAUAAGUUAAGAAGUCAGUCUGAACCAAAGUCUGAGACUCGAGUCGACUCCAGAGUAUCACGAGUCGACUCC